rnacentral:rRNA from 1 species
UGGCAGACGGGUGAGUAACGCGUGGGAACAUACCCUCCGGUUCGGAAUAGCUCAGGGAAACUUGGAUUAAUACCGGAUACGGCUGAGAGGCGAAAGAUUUAUCGCCGGAGGAUUGGCCCGCGUUCGAUUAGCUUGUUGGUGAGGUAACGGCUCACCAAGGCGAUGAUCGAUAGCUGGUCUGAGAGGAUGAUCAGCCACAUUGGGACUGAGACACGGCCCAA